rnacentral:rRNA from 1 species
UACGGGGGGGCAAGCGUUGUUCGGAAUUACUGGGCGUAAAGGGCUCGUAGGCGGCCAACUAAGUCGGACGUGAAAUCCCUCGGCUUAACCGGGGAACUGCGUCCGAUACUGGAUGGCUUGAGUUUGGGAGAGGGAUGCGGAAUUCCAGGUGUAGCGGUGAAAUGCGUAGAUAUCUGGAGGAACACCGGUGGCGAAGGCGGCAUCCUGGACCGGCAUUGACGCUGAGGCGCGAAAGCCAGGGGAGCAAACGGG